rnacentral:rRNA from 1 species
AACGAACGCUGGCGGCAUGCCUAACACAUGCAAGUCGAACGAGACCUUCGGGUCUAGUGGCGCACGGGUGCGUAACGCGUGGGAACCUGCCCUUAGGUUCGGAAUAACUCCCCGAAAGGGGUGCUAAUACCGGAUAAUGUCUUCGGACCAAAGAUUUAUCGCCUUUGGAUGGGCCCGCGUUGGAUUAGCUAGUUGGUAGGGUAAAAGCCUACCAAGGCGACGAUCCAUAGCUGGUCUGAGAGGAUGACCAGCCACACUGGGACUGAGACACGGCCCAGAACCCUACGGGAGGCAGCAGUGGGGAAUAUUGGACAAUGGGCGGAAGUCCGAUACCGCCAUGCCGGGUGAGUGAUGAAGGGCUUAGGGUUGUAAAGCUCUUUUACCCGGGAUGAUAAUGACAGUACCGGGAGAAUAAGCACCGGCUAACUCCGUG